rnacentral:rRNA from 1 species
GAUGAACGCUGGCGGCGUGCCUAAUACAUGCAAGUCGAGCGAACAGACGAGGAGCUUGCUCCUCUGACGUUAGCGGCGGACGGGGGAGUAACACGUGGAUAACCUACCUAUAAGACUGGGAUAACUUCGGGAAACCGGAGCUAAUACCGGAUAAUAUAUUGAACCGCAUGGUUCAAUAGUGAAAGACGGUUUUGCUGUCACUUAUAGAUGGGUCCGCGCCGCAUUAGCUAGUUGGUAAGGUAACGGCUUACCAAGGCAACGAUGCGUAGCCGACCUGAGAGGGUGAUCGGCCACACUGGAACUGAGACACGGUCCAGACUCCUACGGGAGGCAGCAGUAGGGAAUCUUCCGCAAUGGGCGAAAGCCUGACGGAGCAACGCCGCGUGAGUGAUGAAGGUCUUCGGCUCGUAAAACUCUGUUAUCAGGGAAGAACAAAUGUGUAAGUAACUAUGCACGUCUUGACGGUACCUAAUCAGAAAGCCACGGCUAACUACGUG